UGGGGAAUAUUGGACAAUGGGCGCAAGCCUGAUCCAGCCAUACCGCGUGGGUGAAGAAGGCCUUCGGGUUGUAAAGCCCUUUUGUUGGGAAAGAAAUCCAGCCGGCUAAUACCUGGUUGGGAUGACGGUACCCAAAGAAUAAGCACCGACUAACUUCGUGCCAGCAGCCGCGGUAAUACGAAGGGUGCAAGCGUUACUCGGAAUUACUGGGCGUAAAGCGUGCGUAGGUGGUUAUUUAAGUCCGUUGUGAAAGCCCUGGGCUCAACCUGGGAACUGCAGUGGAUACUGGAUGACUAGAAUGUGGUAGAGGGUAGCGGAAUUCCUGGUGUAGCAGUGAAAUGCGUAGAGAUCAGGAGGAACAUCCAUGGCGAAGGCAGCUACCUGGACCAACAUUGACACUGAGGCACGAAAGCGUGGGGAGCAAACA
rnacentral:rRNA from 1 species